UGGGGAAUAUUGGACAAUGGGCGAAAGCCUGAUCCAGCAAUGCCGCGUGAGUGAUGAAGGCCUUAGGGUUGUAAAGCUCUUUUACCAGGGAUGAUAAUGACAGUACCUGGAGAAUAAGCUCCGGCUAACUCCGUGCCAGCAGCCGCGGUAAUACGGAGGGAGCUAGCGUUGUUCGGAAUUACUGGGCGUAAAGCGCACGUAGGCGGCGAUUCAAGUCAGAGGUGAAAGCCCGGGGCUCAACCCCGGAACUGCCUUUGAAACUAGAUUGCUAGAAUCCUGGAGAGGUGAGUGGAAUUCCGAGUGUAGAGGUGAAAUUCGUAGAUAUUCGGAAGAACACCAGUGGCGAAGGCGACUCACUGGACAGGUAUUGACGCUGAGGUGCGAAAGCGUGGGGGAGCAAAACAGGGAUUAGAUACCCUGGUAGUCCACGCCGUAAACGAUGAUAACUAGCUGUCCGGGGCUCAUAGAGCUUGGGUGGCGCAGCUAACGCAUUAAGUUAUGCCGCCUGGGGAGUACGGUCGCAAGAUUAAAACUCAAAUUGAAUUGACGGGGGUCAUAGCUGUUUCCU
rnacentral:rRNA from 1 species